GUGAGGAAUAUUGGUCAAUGGGCGAGAGCCUGAACCAGCCAAGUCGCGUGAAGGAAGACGGCCCUACGGGUUGUAAACUUCUUUUGCAAUGGAAUAAAAAGAGUUACGUGUAAUUCAUUGUAUGUACAUUGCGAAUAAGGAUCGGCUAACUCCGUGCCAGCAGCCGCGGUAAUACGGAGGAUCCGAGCGUUAUCCGGAUUUAUUGGGUUUAAAGGGUGCGUAGGCGGAUUGGAAAGUCAGCGGUGAAAGUUUGCAGCUUAACUGUAAAAUUGCCAUUGAAACUGUCAGUCUUGAGUGCAAAUGAGGUAGGCGGAAUGUGUUGUGUAGCGGUGAAAUGCAUAGAUAUAACACAGAACACCAAUUGCGAAGGCAGCUUACUGGGAUGCAACUGACGCUGAGGCACGAAAGCGUGGGGAUCAAACAGGAUUAGAUACCCUGGUAGUCC
rnacentral:rRNA from 1 species